GUGAUUUUUUUUUUUUUUCUAUUUUUUAUGUAUGGUGAACUAGUUUGUUUUGUGGUUUGAAUAACUUUGAAACUGCAGGAUUUCUAUGAGGACCUAUUUGAGGAGCUGAGCAAGUAGAGAGAGAUUGAGAGCCUUAAUAUCUGUGACAAUUUGGCUGACCACAUGGUGGGUAAUUUAUAUUUCCAUCAGCUGCACAUGGUGACUGAUUCUCGUGCUUGUCACAUCCAAGAUCUGUUAUUAUUCUAAUUUUCUGUGAAAGAGUUGUGGUUAGUGAUGAGAUAAAUGCUACAGGCCCUUCUUUUGGGGUGAGGAAUAUAUGUUACCUUGUGAAAAAAGCAGAGAAGAAAUGGUGGAGUAGGCUGUUAAAGCAGGAAGGGAAGCCUCCUGUGUUUUUGAAAGUAGACUGGGACAAAUGGUGAUGAAGAUGAAGAGCAAGAACACAAAUGUUAGUUGUCCACCC